GGCCGAGGCAGGGACCUGAGCCGAAAUCAAGAGUCGGACGCUCGACCGACUGAGCUGCCCAGGCGCUCCUCUAUGAAAACUAAAAUUCAAGAGAAAUGGGAGCGAUUUUUGUUGUUGUUUUUAAUGUUUAUUUAUUUUUGAGACAGAGAGAGACAGAGAAUGAACGCGGGAGGGUCAGAGAGAGGGAGACACAGAAUCAGAAGCAGGCUCCAGGCUCCGAGCUGUCAGCACAGAGCCCGAUGCGGGGCUUGAACUCACAGACCGUGAGAUCAUGACCUGAGCCGAAGUCAGAUGUCUAACCAACUGAGCCACGCAGGUGCCCCUGGGAGUGAUUUUUGAAGGUGAUGAUUUCUUUGGCUCUUCCUCCACACUGGUGCCCUGUUUGUCCAAGGCCUGUCCUCCCUUCAGCCCCCAGUCCAGUGACAGUGGAACUUUUUCAGCACCUAGAGUCUCUUGGGUGCCCGUGGACCCCCUCAACCUGCAUAGUUUAGUAUUGAAUCAGCUAUGGUCUUUUACUGUCUUGUUUGUUUUUGAGGAAUAUUACCGUUAAUUUCACAGUUCACACGUAGCUCAUCAACACUUACGGAUGAACUGGGAACAAUUUUGGGUCCCAGGAUACCUCCCCCUCUCCUGGGAUGUUUAACACUCCUACUGUUGCCCAGCUGGUGUCUGCUCGGGGAGUUCAUGAUAAUUUUAAUUUUGGCCGAAAAUGGAAACAAAGAAUCCUAUCGGUUGAACUGUUCCUUAGGGGCUUCAUGGGCCUUGUUCUCUCUCUAGUUCCUUAGUAGCCUCCUCCAGGCCAGGAACGGUGUCUCCUGUUCUCUACCUCUCAUAAGACCAAGCGCUGUUGAACAUAUUUUAAAUGUGCUGGUUGAUAUCCCUGUUGGGUGAUUUCAAAGUCAAUCUUGUUAAAGAAGCAGAAAAACAAGCCAAAAAAGCUCGGUUGGAAGGGUUUCUACUCAUAGCCUGGUUCACGUAGUCCCCGGGGCCUGCAAAUCUCCCACUGACAUAUGGCCCCAUGAUAUUUACUCUAGUGUCAGAAUCCUGGUGUAACUAUGGGCACCUUUCCUGGGUUCCAUGUUCUGGAACCUCCCUCCUCCUUAGGGAGUUACCUUCUUACCACUUACUUCUCCAAAACUACUCCCUUUGUAGCCAGAGCCAACAGAGAUGCUCCUUCCCACACUUCUUGGAAUGCCUCCAUCAGUCUCAGUUUCUACUUUAAGGAACAUACUUUGUCCAAGUAACUGGGAGGAAGGCAGAGCCUGAGCAUGAACUUCACUUUCCAGAAGGGACCCUGCCUUCUCUGGGAUAUUCUUCAUGCUGGCAGGCUGUCGGGAAGGUACGUGGGGACCCUGGGAUUUUCCUUUCGCUUUCUUGUGCUCUCAGAAACCACCCCCUGGUGACUCAGAAACAUGAAGGCUAUUAAGCAAAAGAAAUUGAAGACGAUAAAUAAGGGUGGCUCAGAAGUUGUGCUUCGAUCCUUUUAAUUAGAGUUCCAUACCUGAUUUGCCACUGAUGAGCUACCGGACAUUAAAUAAGUCAUUUUAUCUGAUACUUA